rnacentral:rRNA from 1 species
CCAGCAGCGCGGUAAUUCCAGCUCCAAUAGCGUAUAUUUAAGUUGUUGCAGUUAAAAAGCUCGUAGUUGGAUUUCGGGUGGGUGACAGCGGUCCGGCUCUGCUGUGUACUGCUGUUGCCUUCCUUACUGUCGGGGACGGGCUCCUGGGCUUCACUGUCCGGGACCCGGGUUCGACAUGGCUACUUUGAGUAAAUUAGAGUGUUCAAAGCAGGCGUUCGCCCUGAAUACAUUAGCAUGGAAUAGCACGAUAGGACUCUGGCCUAUUCUGCUGGUCUGUAGGACCGGAGUAAUGAUUAAGAGGGACAGUCGGGGGCAUUCGUAUUUCAUUGUCAGAGGUGAAAUUCUUGGAUUUAUGAAAGACGAACUUCUGCGAAAGCAUUUGCCAAGGAUGUUUUCAUUGAUCAAGAACGAAAGU